CUAGGGGCAAGGAGCUCAGCACUGCUGCUGGGUAGAAACAAGGUGCUGGGCCCGAUAAAACAAGCUGGAGGGCCGAAUUCAGCCCUCGGGCCUUGUGUUUGCCACCUGUGCUUUAG